UUAGACGCCUGACCAUCUCUGACCAGCGGAGGAGCAAAGUGUGCUCCGUUUCUUGUGGUCAGAGACAUUUUCCCACAAUUCUCACCUUUCCUCUGUGAUCUUGCGAUGCUUCCUGUCAGUAUUCCCGAACGUGGGCGAAACUAACAAAUUUCGUCCUUACAAAAUUAGAACAGUUUCUCCAUUCGUGUUAGGACUCAAUUUGGG